rnacentral:lncRNA from 1 species
UGCAAUGGUGCGAUGUCGGCUCACCACAACUUCCACCUGCCAGGUUCAAGUGAUACUCCUGCCUCAGCCUCCUGAGUAGCUGGGAUUAGAGGCAUGCGACACCAUGCCUGGCUAAUUUUAUAUUUUUUGGUAGAGACGGGGUUUCUCCAUGUUGGUCAGGCUGGUCUCGAACUCCUGAUCUCAAGUGAUCCACCCACCUAGGCCUCCCAAAGUGCUGGGAUUACAGGCGUGAGCCACCGCGCCCGGCUCUGAGAGUUAUUUUCUACUAACCAAUGAUGUACUGCUAGAUUUUGGAAUAAAAGGUUCUAUGUGUGUGGGGAGGGGAGGAAGGAGCAGAAUCAAAAAGCCCUGAGCAAUGAUAGGAUGGAUUAGAGUUUGGAAAGGGAAACGUGGGGUCCAGAACACACUGGUUAGGCUGUGGCAAGGGGGUCCUCUUGACAUCCUCUAACCAGAUCUCACAGCACACUUCCUGCCAUGUCGCAGCAGAGACCAGCCCUCACCAGACCCGGUGCUGACAUUAACCAGGUGCUGCCCUGAGCGAGAUGGCGUCCUGCCACGCCUGCUCCGUCAUCUGGGAGAUGCCUUGUCGGCAGCUCCAAGGCCUCCUGUGGGAAGGCAUGAACGUCUGUCCUCACGUCCCUGCUUCCCUUAUUACCCAGCGGUGGAAGUUCAUCCCCCACUCUCCUAUCUUCCUGAAUUCAUCCCAUCCUUUGUUGGCCCUGUGUGUGGUUUCUUCCUGUACUCUCUUUUGUGGAUUUUUGUAGAAUUUCAGAAGUGAUUGUGAUAUUAGAUGUGAUCAUCUCUGCUCUGCCUGCUGCUGGGGAUGUGUGGCACUGACCCACUCUCCCCAUUUUCCUCAUUGUGGCUCUAUAGUCAAAAAGGCUCUUAGGCCCCUUCUAAGUUCUUUCUUCUCCAGGCUAACAUCCUUUUCUUCUUUAAGUCCAUUUUUAACAUUGGUUGUGAGUUAACUCCUGACCUCUCCCCCUCUGUCUAGUCCAUGCUGGUCACUCCCUCCUUGCUCUAAAAGUGAAGGUGCUGGUGGGAGCAGGACCUUCUGGCUAUCCCCAGGCAGGCCCGUGCCUCCCUCGAGGCUUUGACAUUGUGAUGUGUGUGUCUCUUCACACCAGGGUGGGAGCCCCUUGAGGGAAAGAACCACGCCUUUCUCUCUCGGGAGAAAGCCCCUGUCAGACAGCAGGCAUUUGAAAUUAAACAGAACAUUAUAAUUCUGGGUCCUAACCUUUAUAAAUGCAAGGCAAGACUAGAUUAUGUUAGCGGAUUUGUCAAUAUUCAUUUGGUUCAGUCUUAUUGCACAGAUAGGCAAUUAAAGCAUUUUAAAUGGGCUGUGCUUAAGUGUGGUCCCCCUCUCAUGUACUCCUAUAGCAGGCUUUAAAACACUGCAUUGCGCUUAAAGAUCUGCUUCUUGGAUUUGGGCUGUUGAGCUCUUUUCCUUCUUCCACAUCAUUCCCUCA